GACGAACGCUGGCGGCGUGCUUAACACAUGCAAGUCUAACGGAAAGGCCCUGCUUUUGUUGGGUGCUCGAGUGGCGAACGGGUGAGUAACACGUGAGUAACCUGCCCUUGACUUUGGGAUAACUUCAGGAAACUGGGGCUAAUACCGGAUAGGAGCUCCUGCUGCAUGGUGGGGGUUGGAAAGUUUCGGCGGUUGGGGAUGGACUCGCGGCUUAUCAGCUUGUUGGUGGGGUAGUGGCUUACCAAGGCUUUGACGGGUAGCCGGCCUGAGAGGGUGACCGGCCACAUUGGGACUGAGAUACGGCCCAGACUCCUACGGGAGGCAGCAGUGGGGAAUAUUGCACAAUGGGCGGAAGCCUGAUGCAGAAACGCCGCGUGCGGGAUGACGGCCUUCGGGUUGUAAACCGCUUUCGCCUGUGACGAAGCGUGAGUGACGGUAAUGGGUAAAGAAGCACCGGCUAACUACGUG
rnacentral:rRNA from 1 species